rnacentral:rRNA from 1 species
UAAUACGGAGGAUCCAAGCGUUAUCCGGAAUCAUUGGGUUUAAAGGGUCCGUAGGCGGUCUUAUAAGUCAGUGGUGAAAUCCCAUCGCUCAACGAUGGAACUGCCAUUGAUACUGUAAGACUUGAAUGCUUAGGAAGUAACUAGAAUAUGUAGUGUAGCGGUGAAAUGCUUAGAUAUUACAUGGAAUACCAAUUGCGAAGGCAGGUUACUACUAAGUGAUUGACGCUGAUGGACGAAAGCGUGGGGAGCGAACAGG